CUGUGUCGUGCCUUUUUUAGUCAUGGCCGGCGCCGCAGCGCCGGCCUACGAGCACGCGACCACGAUGC
rfam:Venezuelan equine encephalitis virus capsid protein, envelope proteins (E1, E2 and E3) and the 6 kd protein mRNAs, complete cds.